ensembl:lncRNA
CUUAAGUACAGUAACAAAGUUACUUGACACCUCUAGUAAAUGGACACUUUCACUUCAAGUUCAUGUCCUCAAUUAUGUUAAGCAGCAGCACUUCGGCUUCAGUGUUCACUCAUUACCUCGGAAUCGCAACGAGAAAGUCAUCUCACGGUUGAAGGGAACAUCUCUGUCCCAACUUCCUCUUUUUUUGUGAUGUGAUGAACAGGAAAGAAACUAUUUCACAUCACUGUUAAGUGUAAUACACAUUGACAGAGCACAACUCAGCCCCGAGGUCCCUUUCACAUUUCAGGAUGUUGGUCAACUUCAGAAUACCUUCCUUGGAUCAGAUGAAGUUGAUAAGCCUGAUCGAUUAUACCCUCAUAUUGAUCGUGGCGUCUAAUUCAGAAGGUGAAAGCUGGAAUAUUGAUGUCAGCAGACAUAUCAAUGCAACCUUGGGUUCAAACGUGACCAUUCAAUGUCACUUCACCGUUCCAACUAAACAUUACACGGAAAGUAUGCAAGUUUUCUGGAAAAAGGAUGAGAAAAGCAAAUUUAAUACUUUUGACAACGACAAAAAUGCUUUUAUUUUUCACCCAAACGAGACGUUUGUGCUUGAGAAGUACAGAGGAAAGACCCGGCUCAUGGGAAAUAAAAGCGCAGGGAACUGCUCCCUCAAGAUCUUCAAUAUCAGGGAUAAUGUCCCAAACAUCUAUGUGAGACUUAUUGCAAAGGGGGACAACUACAGUUUUUCACAAAAUAGUGUCUCCAUUGCUGUAACUGGUACAACACAGCUAACUCCCAUCACUCAAGGACAACCAGUGGGAGCAGACCCGGAGAAUGAUCUACUAAAGCAUGUGUCCAUCUCCGUACCAGUUGUUGCCAUUCUGACCAUCAUUGUUGUUGUUGGAAUUGUCCUUGGCAUAAAACACAAAAGGUCAGCAUCCUUUAUCAGGGAGGAUUCAAGAUAUUAUGCUAAUUUCAGCCGAGCAAACCAACUGCAAAGGGAAGCGUCUUGCCAGAAACCAGAGAACAGUAAAGUUUCUGAACAGAAAGACAUUGAGGAACCGGUUUACGCCAACAUUGAGGCCCAUCCAGAUCAGAUGGAUCAAAGUGCGGAUCACUUAGACAACAUAUAUGCCAAUGUGGAUCAUUUAAAACUGUAGGAAAGCUGCGUCUUACAAAUCUAUUCCUAAUCUUUUCGGUUUUAUGGCAUAGAGACUACUUAACAUUCCAAAAGAUAAGAUAACCUGUGUAGGUGUCUACUGUGUGACCGGGAUGAGAGACCUUGUCUGUUUCCAUCCUACUGAUUAAUUUGUGAUUUAAUAUUACUAUAUUGCCGUUUAUUUUUUGUCUUUUGGUCGUUAUAGUGAAUAUGUAACCAUAAUGAAUGGACCGUGUGUAAGUGCUCAGUACAAGGGCUUAAAAUGUGUCUUACUACUGAUUUAAAAAAUAUGGCAGCUUGUUCACAUGUUAAUGCUGUGACAUUUUCCUAACCACAACCAGGAGAAAAUAUCAAGUAUGUCAUUUGCAAAAUCUUAUGACAGGAGUCCUGUUUUCUGUGGAAUGUAUUCAAGUAACCGGCCAGGUUCAACUUGCUGAACAUUUUUUUCUUGCCUUCUUAGUGUUUGUCAAUUCACAUAUUGUGACAUCUGGGCGAGUGCCACACUUCUGUUCUCUUUUCUUCAGUUUCCUGAGAGAUGUUAAUCAGAGAUAAAGCUACUAUUUGUAAUGUCAUUUAACGUAGAACUACAUAGAAAAUGAACUUUCCGAAACAAUAAAAGAUUAGUGCAUGCAUGUCUUUGCUCGUCCACAGUGUUCCACAUUCACCUCGCAACAGUCCUAAUUUCAUUAUUUUUUACUGAGGAGGAGCCUUUCUCGACCUUGCAACAGUGUGCAUACCAGAACAGGCUGAUCAUAUAGUACUUGUCCCAGGACAUGUGUUUUUAAUUUCAUUCAUACUGCAAUUUCUCUUAUGUGACAGACCAACUAGUCAAAUGUUUAUGCCGUAUUUCCAAAUAAUAUUUUACAACUUCUCUUUGUAAAUUGUAUUCAUAGAAUUACAUACAUUUAUUAUCAUUGUAAUUCUUCACUGCUUAAGGCUUAUGUCACAGUUUAUUUAUUAGUUAUUCUGCCUGCUGUUCCAGAGCUUUAAUAAAAGGUCAAAGACCCCUGGAGUCGCGUG